rnacentral:rRNA from 1 species
GACAGAGGGUGCAAACGUUGUUCGGAUUUACUGGGCGUAAAGGGCGCGUAGGCGGCCUGUGCAAGUCAGUUGUGAAAUCUCCGAGCUUAACUCGGAACGGUCAACUGAUACUGCUCGGCUAGAGUGCGGAAGGGGCAACUGGAAUUCUUGGUGUAGCGGUGAAAUGCGUAGAUAUCAAGAGGAACACCUGCGGCGAAGGCGGGUUGCUGGGCCGACACUGACGCUGAGGCGCGAAAGCUAGGGGAGCGAACGGG